GUGCCAGCCGCCGCGGUAAUACCGGCAGCCCAAGUGAUGGCCGAUCUUAUUGGGCCUAAAGCGUCCGUAGCUGGCCGCGCAAGUCCAUCGGAAAAUCCACCCGCCCAACGGGUGGGCGUCCGGUGGAAACUGCACGGCUUGGGACCGGAAGGCUCGAGAGGUACGUCCGGGGUAGGAGUGAAAUCCCGUAAUCCCGAACGGACCACCGAUGGCGAAAGCAUCUCGAGAAAACGGAUCCGACAGUGAGGGACGAAAGCUAGGGUCUCGAACCGGAUUAGAUACCCGGGUAGUCC
rnacentral:rRNA from 1 species